rnacentral:rRNA from 1 species
AUUGAACGCUGGCGGAAUGCUUUACACAUGCAAGUCGAACGGCAGCAUAGGUGCUUGCACCUGAUGGCGAGUGGCGAACGGGUGAGUAAUACAUCGGAACGUGCCCAGUCGUGGGGGAUAACGUAGCGAAAGUUACGCUAAUACCGCAUACGAUCUAAGGAUGAAAGCGGGGGACCGUAAGGCCUCGCGCGAUUGGAGCGGCCGAUGUCAGAUUAGGUAGUUGGUGAGGUAAAGGCUAACCAAGCCGACGAUCUGUAGCUGGUCUGAGAGAACGACCAGCCACACUGGGACUGAGACACGGCCAAGACUCCUACGGAAGGCAGCAGUGGGGAAGUUUGAACAAGGGACGCAAGUCUGAUCCAGCCAUUCCGCGUGCAGGACGAAGGCCUUCGGGUUGUAAACUGCUUUUGUACGGAACGAAAAAGCUCUUACUAAUACUAGGAGUCCAUGACGGUACCGUAAGAAUAAGCACCGGCUAACUACGUGCCAGCAGCCGCCGUAA